GCAUACUCCAUUUGACGUUAGCUGCAGAAGAAGCACCGGCUAACUCCGUGCCAGCAGCCGCGGUAAUACGGAGGGUGCGAGCGUUAAUCGGAAUUACUGGGCGUAAAGCGCAUGCAGGUGGUUUGUUAAGUCAGAUGUAGAAACGGCCCCGGGGCUCAACCUCGGAAUUGCAUUUAGAAACUGGCAAACUAGAGUACUGUAGAGGGGGUAGAAUUUCAGGUGUAGCGGUGAAAUGCGUAGAGAUCUGAAGGAAUACCGGUGGCGAAGGCGGCCCCCUGGACAGAUACUGACACUCAGAUGCGAAAGCGUGGGGAGCAAACAGGAUUAGAUACCCUGGUAG
rnacentral:rRNA from 1 species